UACGGAGGGGGCAAGCGUUACUCGGAAUUAUUGGGCGUAAAGGGCGCGUAGGCGGUCGUGCGCGUCGGAGGUGAAAUCCCCGGGCUUAACCCGGGAGCUGCCUCCGAUACGGCAUGGCUUGAGUCCGGGAGAGGGGGGCAGAAUUCCCAGUGUAGCGGUGAAAUGCGUAGAUAUUGGGAGGAAUACCAGUGGCGAAGGCGGCUCCCUGGACCGGUACUGACGCUGAGGCGCGAAAGCCAGGGGAGCGAACGGG
rnacentral:rRNA from 1 species